rnacentral:rRNA from 1 species
CCCUGCCAUUUGUACACACCGCCCGUCGCUCCUACCGAUUGGAUGGUCCGGUGAAACCUUCGGACCUGCACGGGAAUCUCGGGGUUCACCCGUUCCGUGCGGGAAUGUCGGUUAAACCUUAUCAUCUAGAGGAAGGAGAAGUCGUAACAAG